UGGGGAAUUUUGGACAAUGGGCGAAAGCCUGAUCCAGCAAUGCCGCGUGUGUGAAGAAGGCCUUCGGGUUGUAAAGCACUUUUGUCCGGAAAGAAAUCCUUGGCUCUAAUACAGUCGGGGGAUGACGGUACCGGAAGAAUAAGCACCGGCUAACUACGUGCCAGCAGCCGCGGUAAUACGUAGGGUGCAAGCGUUAAUCGGAAUUACUGGGCGUAAAGCGUGCGCAGGCGGUUUGCUAAGACCGAUGUGAAAUCCCCGGGCUCAACCUGGGAACUGCAUUGGUGACUGGCAGGCUAGAGUAUGGCAGAGGGGGGUAGAAUUCCACGUNUAGCAGUGAAAUGCGUAGAGAUGUGGAGGAAUACCGAUGGCGAAGGCAGCCCCCUGGGCCAAUACUGACGCUCAUGCACGAAAGCGUGGGGAGCAAACAGGAUUAGAUACCCUGGUAGUCCACGCCCUAAACGAUGUCAACUAGUUGUUGGGGAUUCAUUCCUUAGUAACGUAGCUAACGCGUGAAGUUGACCGCCUGGGGAGUACGGUCGCAAGAUUAAAACUCAAAUGAA
rnacentral:rRNA from 1 species